GACGAACGCUGGCGGCGUGCUUAACACAUGCAAGUCGAACGGAAAGGCCCUUCGGGGUACUCGAGUGGCGAACGGGUGAGUAACACGUGGUGAUCUGCCCUGCACUCUGGGAUAAGCCUGGGAAACUGGGUCUAAUACCGGAUAUGAUCAUGCGCCUCAUGGUGUGUGGUGGAAAGCUUUUGCGGUGUGGGAUGGGCCCGCGGCCUAUCAGCUUGUUGGUGGGGUAAUGGCCUACCAAGGCGACGACGGGUAGCCGGCCUGAGAGGGUGACCGGCCACACUGGGACUGAGAUACGGCCCAGACUCCUACGGGAGGCAGCAGUGGGGAAUAUUGCACAAUGGGCGGCAAAGCCUGAUGCAGCGACGCCGCGU
rnacentral:rRNA from 1 species